CAGUUUACAUAAGCAAGCAUUCCCAUUCAAACGGUCAUCAUCGUCAUCUAUAUCUAUACUAAUAUAAAAAGCACGAGUUCAUCAAAUACCUAUCUUUACUGACCUUUAAAUAUAUUCAUCCAACGAUUUAUAUCAAAAGUUAGAUCAACCUCUGCAAUUAGCCAUCCCCACGUUCGAUUAGCAGCGGUUAUAGCGAUAUAGCGAUCGAUCACGAGAAAGAAGCAGAAAAGAAAAAAAAAACUUCUCUCCCGUGCGCUAGCCCGUCGCCGCCUCCCGGAGCCGCUCGCUGCCUCCUUGCACGCGCCCGCCGGACCGCCGGGCGCCGCCGCCAACUCCGAGCGCGCACCCGCCGCAGCCGCGCCCCCUACCCCGCCACCUCCUCGCGCGUGCCCGACGCUCGCCCUACCCCGCCGCUGCCGCCUCCUCGCGGCCGCCGGUGAGUCAGGUUCGCCGUCGGCUGGCGCCUUCUCCACCACCGCCGCCGCCUCCUCGCGCGUGGCCUCUGGAGUUUUGGGAUCGCCGUCGGCCGGCUCCUCCUCGCGUGCGCCCGCCGGGGAGCUGUGGUGGGUUACGGCACUACGCAGUACAGACUCCAGGUUAAGGCACAGGGAGGCAACAAUCCAAUACAGGAGAGAUGGGAUGGGAUCCUAGCUCAAGGGAGCCCUAGCGGCAGCUACGGUCGGGAGGACCUAAGCCCUACAGGCAAGUUCUAUAAUCAACCCCCUUUUGCUUACCGGCGAUAAGUCAACCAACUUCCAGUGAUGCAGGUACUGAUCCUCUCCUCCCUCCCUCUCCCUCCCUCUUUAUCAUGACAUUAGCUGAUUGAUCACCAGCUUUUUAUUCCGAUUGCUCCAGUGAACUUUGUUCACAAAAUAGUGUUUUUUUCAUUUUCUGAUGCUUGUGCCUAUCGUGUGACUCCUCCACCGACAUGUACAUUGAUAUCUGCCCAACUGAUUGAUGAAAUGAUCGUUUACAUUUUUUUUUGUUCAAUCAAUAGUUUCUGAUCAGCUUGGAGUGGUCCGUGCCAUGUUGCUGUGAUAAUGCUACAGGUUAAUCCUCCUGGCUCUCUGUACUGAAACAAUUUCUCCGGAUCUCUUUCCCUUUUGUUUUGGACCUUAUACAACCUGCUGUUGGCUAAUAAUGACAUUCAUGAAUAAUAGAUCAUGUUAAAGCUGUUUGCAUGGUCUGCUGUUGUCAAAUAGUUUUAUGCAGUCACAACUCUUAUUAAAUGAUCAGGUUGACUUCAAGCAUUGGGCUAAAAACUAAGAUUAUGUAAGUUAAAUAACAUAUAUGCCGUCAUCUUCAAUUUAAGUGAUAUUGUGUCAAUCUUCUGAUCAACUGUUUACAUCUUCGGAUUAUAUAGAUUCAUGUCACAUGUGUAUGUCUUCGGAAUUAUCUAUGUUUAUGUUACUGUGUAUGUCUUCAGAUUUAUAUAUAUUUAGGUUACCUGUGUAUAUCUUGAGAUAUUUCGUAAUUGCAUAUUAUUACAGAUGGCAAAGAUGUUUAAUUCUAUUUUUUUAUUGGAUAUCCCUCAGCGAUAUGCCCUGCCCGGCCUUGUCAGCUAAUAUGCAAUAUCAGUUUUAUGCCCUUGACAUGGCAUACAUUCCUCCAGGCUGCACUCACUUACGCUUUUACUGUAGAUUGAUAGGUUAAUGUUCCAUUGUCAAGGUGAACCAAUCAGCUAAUGAUGGUUCAUAUAGUUAUAAUUUGAGUGCAACUAUGUAUCCACUAUGAUGUAGAAUUGUGGGUAUUUAUAGAUGCAAUUUAAAAGGUAUGCCACUUAGGAAUCGACACUCAGGCACAUGCACCUAGGCUUGAUGGGUAAGUCUGGCCAAUUUACAUAUGGGGAACACAAAUUAAUUUAAUCAGUUAUUCCAAUUUAUUCUUCUUUGUUUCUAUGCACUGCAAUGCCAAUUUGAGUGCGUAUCUUGUCAUGCUAUUCAGCAUAAUGUCUUGGCAGGCUAUGCAUAUGUUCAUGCUUAUAUAUGCAGCAUUCAUAUAAGUAAGGAUUAAUUGGAUUGCUUGCUUUGUCUAAUGCAGCCUCACCAUUUAAUUUGUGGCGAGCACCUUAAUUCCAUCUUGCCAUUAUCGAGGGAGUAUAUCAUAUGCACCUAAUUCUGUAUAUAGAGUAUUUAUUGACUAGGGUCUUGGAAAUUUUUGAAUUGCUGUCAGAUGUAAGUUCCUCAGAUUGAUGAUUUGAUUACUUUCACAGCUAAUACCAUUGAUCACAGCUAAACACCACUUAUAGAAGUUUAAUGGAUUUUUAUCUAAAAAAGGGAAAAAAGGAAAUUAAUAACUGAAACUGCAUAGUAGUACUAUGAUCUCUGAACAAAGAAAUUUGCUGAGUUUCCUAGCAGCUGCUGGGUGCAUUUUCCUCUUGUUAUGUGUGCCUAACCUUGCAUCCAUUAAAUUUCAAAAGUGCAAAUAGAGAACUAUUGCAUGCAUUCCUUUUAUAUCAAAGAUUGGGAUGAAAUUUCCAGCUUAAUCCUGACAGCCGCAAUGUGUCUUGAGCAAAAGGAAGCAAGGCUGCAACUGAAACACGGUGAAUAGUAAAUAAAAAUCUCGCUUUUAGGAAAAAAAAGGUGAGUCGUGCACAAGUGCUGUAAUCUGGUUUUGGCAAAUUUUUAUCAAGAUAUACAACUCCGUUGCUUUGUUUACACAAUAAACCUGAACUCUAGGUGUAGCAGCUUGAAGCAUUAAAAAAGAAGAUGGCAGCAAACAGAUGUUUGCUUUAUUGGAUUUAAUACUUGGAUAUUCCACUGUGCUUCCCAAAUUGAGCUGAAUAAAUAGCUUGACGAAUUGUUCUCUUAACAUGUCUCAGUUGUCCUUUGUAUCAAAUGAGCAGCAUAAUCCAUUCAUGGAUUGUUCUUUUCCACUGGUGAUACAGAUAGUUACUUCUAAUGUUUCAUGGAAAAGUUCGAGCUACAAAAAUUUCUUAAGCAAGCUUACGGAUUGUUUCUGAUGAGUUUAGCAACUCUAUGGAAACAAGCAUAAGUGCUUCUCAUCUGACCAGUUCCAAGAGAGAAGUAGCCAAGUAGGUAGAACAAUCCCAAAACUGCAAACUUCUUUUACUGUAUAUAUAUAUAUACUUUCCUUUUUAGCAUUUUCUGUAAAGUCCCAGUUCUGUAUUGCAAUUGGCAUGGUUGUGUUCAUCAGAAUAUUGAAUGUCAAAUCGAAAGGAGGCGCCAACCUAUAGCUAUCAACGACAUGGACACCAUGGUUCAGAUUCAUAAAUUUGGGGAUCAUGGAUGUCUAGGUUCAGAAAUUUUUGGAUUUUAGGCAACAAAUUUUGUAGAAUUUCCAAUUUAGAAAAACACAUUUUGCA